GGAAAAGCAGGUAAGGGGGUGCGCAUGGGCUGGGGGGCUCCCCAACGGCUCCCUCGGGCCCUACAACCCCCUCAGGUGUAACUGGUGCGGGCCUGGCAUCUGGAAGCCCGCGGGCUAUGCGCGGCUGGAGGGUAUCGCGGGGAGAGGCGCUCUGGCCUGGUCGUGACCUCAGGCGGAUUGUUUUCAACCUCUCUGAGCCUCAGCUUGCUCAUCUGCAAAGUGGGACCGCCCCGUCUCCCCGCCAAGUUCUGGCCGGGGUUAAAUGCGUGCACGUCAGUUGCCAGGCACCUCUUUGUUGUCCUGUGAGUACUUGGUGGCCCAGAAGAUGGCGCUGAUGGCCCCGACCACCAGGAGCCCGAUGAGGACAUUGACCCGCAGCGGCACAGCCCCACCUCCGGCUGGAACGCCCUACGCACGUGCAUGUGCACACACCCCCGACACACGCUUCCAAACCACGGCCACUCACAUACCCAGGUGUACACGCACCACACGCUGGCACACACCUUGAACUCGUUGCUGAUCUCGUGCUUCUUGAUGGUGGCUGCUUCCUGUCCCCGGAUACAGAAGUCCCAGGAGGAGAAGACUUUGACACUGACAGGUGCUUCCUCUCGGGGCCCCCCAUCCCCCACCGUCUGAUCUCCAGCCGUGUGGGUCCGCGUGUACCCACCGGAUGAAGCGCUUGUCCACCAUGGCAUACGGCAGCCCCCG